rnacentral:lncRNA from 1 species
CACUGAAAGAAGUCACCAGCAUAGAUGACACCAGUAACUCUUCUUGCCUGUUCACUCGAUGCCAGCCCUGUAUGCCAGCUGCAGUACUGAACUACUGAACUUUUCAAGGCUCUCGCUUCUGACCUCUGACAUACACCUUUACAAUCAGCCCCUGGUCAACUGGGAGCAUCUCUACUGGUGUACUGCUACCUGCCCGGGAC